GUGUCAGCCGCCGCGGUAAGACGAACCGUGCAAACGUUGUUCGGAAUCACUGGGCUUAAAGGGCGCGUAGGCGGCUCGCCAAGUCGGGGGUGAAAUCUUUCGGCUCAACCGGAAAAGUGCCUUCGAUACUGGCGGGCUGGAGGGAGGUAGGGGCAUGUGGAACUUCCGGUGGAGCGGUGAAAUGCGUUGAUAUCGGAAGGAACGCCGGUGGCGAAAGCGACGUGCUGGACCUCUUCUGACGCUGAGGCGCGAAAGCUAGGGGAGCGAACGGGAUUAGAAACCCCCGUAGUCC
rnacentral:rRNA from 1 species